rnacentral:ncRNA from 1 species
UUAAAGUUUUAUUCUUACUUAGAGGAUUAGUAGUGUAACAGACAUAUGUGAAGUUAAAUUUAAUUUAAAAUUAUGAAUAUGCAGUGUAAGGGAUUAAUUAUCAAGGAUAGAUUGGAAUUAGUGAUUACAGAAAGACUGGUUAAUUUCGUGCCAGCAACCGCGGUUAUACGUGAGGUUUAAUUAAUUUAUAUUAGAGGGAGUUGGUUGAUAAGACUUAAGAAUAUUUAGAUGAUUAAUAGCUAAGGUGAAAUUUUUAUUAAUUGAUAAAUUGUUCUUUGAAAAUGAUUUUGAGACUCAUUAAAUUAUGUAGUAAACUAGGAUUAGAUACCCUAUUAUUAUAAUUGAAGUUAAGAACUCUGGAGUAGUAAAAGAUAUAGUCUGGAAACUCAAAGAAUUUGGCGGUAGUUAAGUCAGUUCAGAGGAAUCUGUCCCGUAAUUAAUAAUUCAUGAUUGGGUGUACUUUAGUUAUUGGUUUGUAUACCUCCGUUAGCAGAAUAUUUUUUUAGAAAAUAAAAAUUCAAUAAUUUAAUUAAGAAUUUAAUUCAGGUCAAGGUGCAGCUUAUAUUAAAGUGGUGAUGGAUUACAAUUGGCUUUAGUUCAAUAAUGGAUUUUGGUUUUGAUUGAGAUUAAAUGAAGGUGGAUUUGUUAGUAAAUCUAGGUUACAAAAGUAGCUUGAUUUUGCUCUUAAUUAUGUACACAUCGCCCGUCGCUCUCAUUAUUAGAUGAGAUAAGUCGUAACAAAGUAGAGGUACUGGAAGGUGUUUCUAGAAGGUGUUA